rnacentral:misc_RNA from 1 species
GAUGUCGGAUACAUGUUGGAGCCUUGAUUACCUCCCCUCGCGGUCUGCAUCCACCGCGCCUCGGCGAAUCGGUUGCCCGUUUUCGGGCUUCCCUGGGACCUUCGCCGGGCAAGACGGAUGAGGCGGUGCACCACCGAUUCUCGGCAGCAGGACGUUGUGGCUAUCCUUAUUGGAAGGCCGCAUCAUCCCAAUGCCAGAAGAGGUGGUUCUACCGCAACAACCGGCCCGAUAACGAAACCGUGGACGAAUGUCUGCCUGAUUGUUAUCGCGCCGGGUUUGUCGGAUACGGGAACGGUGCGCCCACCGUGUCAUCGGUGAGAAGCUGUCUGGUGGCCGGAUGGCURCCGGUUCUUCCACGUCGUUGGUGACUGGGUGCAAAAAUGUGGGAUAUGGUGCCUAUUCUCGCGCUCUGUGGACUUUCGGUCGUCGUCUUCAUAGCAGACCCGUUGUGCUAAGCACGAUGGGAUGCUCGGGCGUCUUGACCGUUGUGGCUACGCUGGCGCAUGAGCUGUUGUGGACAUGUGGCUGCCGUGAGGCCCCCCGUCGUUGUGCGGCCGACUCUCGGUGCAGUGUCCUUUCAAUUGUAUGGGUUUCAAAACCUGUGUCAUUGACGAGUGCUUGCGUUCUGCUACCCGUUCUGCGGGAAGUAGACUUUCGUACAAGUUGCCUUCGUCGCGUGCGUCCUUUGGGCGUGUCGCGUCGGUCACAUAGCGCUUGCGGUGUUGCCUCGCAAAGUCGGCCAUCUAGGCUGGCAUUGUCUAGGACACCUCGCAUUCGCUCUUGGUCCCGGAUGACGCUCACUCUAUAGGCUCGUGGCCCUUUGGUGCCUCGUUCCUCACAAAAGUCCCGUCGGAAACGUGACAGUUGGCUCGGCUACCGUCGCCGUUAGACCCCUUGUGGUCUAGCACGGCUGUUAGCCGCAGCCAGCUCGUCCAUGAGGACGUGCU